rnacentral:rRNA from 1 species
UACGAAGGGUGCAAGCGUUGUUCGGAGUUACUGGGCGUAAAGGGUGCGUAGGUGGCUCUAUAAGUAUGGUGUGAAAUCUCCCGGCUUAACUGGGAGGGUGCGCCGUAGACUGUGGGGCUAGAGUGUGGGAGAGGAAAGUGGAAUUCCUGGUGUAGCGGUGAAAUGCGUAGAUAUCAGGAGGAACACCGGUGGUGUAAACGGCUUCUGGACCAUAACUGACACUGAGGCACGAAAGCGUGGGUAGCAAACAGG